GUGGGGAAUCUUAGACAAUGGGCGCAAGCCUGAUCUAGCCAUGCCGCGUGAGUGAUGAAGGCCCUAGGGUUGUAAAGCUCUUUCAGCUGGGAAGAUAAUGACGGUACCAGCAGAAGAAGCCCCGGCUAACUCCGUGCCAGCAGCCGCGGUAAUACGGAGGGGGCUAGCGUUGUUCGGAAUUACUGGGCGUAACGCGCGCGUAGGCGGACUGAAAAGUUGGGGGUGAAAUCCCGGGGCUCAACCUCGGAACUGCCUUCAAAACUAUCAGUCUGGAGUUCGAGAGAGGUGAGUGGAAUUCCGAGUGUAGAGGUGAAAUUCGUAGAUAUUCGGAGGAACACCAGUGGCGAAGGCGGCUCACUGGCUCGAUACUGACGCUGAGGUGCGAAAGCGUGGGGAGCAAACAGGAUUAGAAACCCCUGUAGUCC
rnacentral:rRNA from 1 species